rnacentral:tRNA from 1 species
GGAGAGGUGGCAGAGUGGUCGAAUGCGCCUGACUCGAAAUCAGGUUUAGCCUCACGGCUAACGUGGGUUCGAAUCCCACCCUCUCCGCCA